UACGGAGGGUGCGAGCGUUGUCCGGAUUUACUGGGCGUAAAGAGCGCGCAGGCGGUCGUAUAAGUCGAAUGUGAAAAGCCCCCGGCUCAACUGGGGAGGGUCAUUCGAUACUGUUUCGACUCGAAGGCAGGAGAGGGAAGUGGAAUUCCGGGUGUAGUGGUGAAAUGCGCAGAUAUCAGGAGGAACACCGGUGGCGAAGGCGGUUCUCUGGGGCAUUACCUGACGCUGAGGAGCGAAAAGUGUGGGGGAGCGAAACAGG
rnacentral:rRNA from 1 species